GAUGAAGAACGCAGCGAAAUGCGAUACGUAAUGUGAAUUGCAGAAUUCAGUGAAUCAUCGAGUCUUUGAACGCACAUUGCGCCCCCUGGUAUUCCGGGGGGCAUGCCUGUCCGAGCGUCAUUGCUGCCCUCAAGCACGGCUUGUGUGUUGGGCCUCCGUCCUCCUCCCGGGGGACGGGCCCGAAAGGCAGCGGCGACACCGCGUCCGGUCCUCGAGCGUAUGGGGCUUCGUCACCCGCUCUUGUAGGCCCGGCCGGCGCUUGCCGACACAUCAAUCUUUUUUCCAGGUUGACCUCGGAUCAGGUAGGGAUACCCGCUGAACUUAAGCAUAUCAAUAAGCGGAGGA
rnacentral:misc_RNA from 1 species